AAGUCGUAACAAGGUCUCCGUUGGUGAACCAGCGGAGGGAUCAUUAACGAGUUCCAUUCUCCUUAAUACACCCGUGAACGUUUCUUCAACUGUUCGUUGCUUCGGCGGGCGGCCCCGGGGAGGGGCCGCAGCCCGCAAGGGCGCCCGCCGGCGGCAGCGCAGCACAACUCUUGCGAUUUAGGCCCCUCUGAGAAGACACUAAAUGAGUCAAAACUUUCAACAACGGAUCUCUUGGUUCUGGCAUCGAUGAAGAACGCAGCGAAAUGCGAUAAGUAAUGUGAAUUGCAGAACUCAGCGAAUCAUCGAAUCUUUGAACGCACAUUGCGCCCGCCGGCAUUCCGGCGGGCAUGCCUGUUCGAGCGUCAUUUCAACCCUCGAGCCCUGCUCGGUGUUGGGGCCCCGCGGCCGCCGCGGGCCCUGAAAAGAAGUGGCGGGCGCGCCUGGACCCGUAGCGCAGUAAUACACCUCGCUCGCGGCGUCCCGGCGCGUGCCGGCCGUAAAACCCCUUUAUCUCAAGGUGA
rnacentral:rRNA from 1 species